rnacentral:rRNA from 1 species
UCCAGACUCCUACGGGAGGCAGCAGUGGGGGAUAUUGCGCAAUGGGGGGAACCCUGAUGCAGCGACGCCGCGUGGGUGAAGAAGCGCCUCGGCGCGUAAAGCCCUGUCAGCAGGGAAGAAAAUGACGGUACCUGACUAAGAAGCCCCGGCUAACUACGUGCCAGCAGCCGCGGUAAUACGUAGGGGGCAAGCGUUAUCCGGAUUUACUGGGUGUAAAGGGAGCGUAGACGGCUGUGCAAGCCAGAUGUGAAAGCCCGGGGCUCAACCCCGGGACUGCAUUUGGAACUGCGUGGCUUGAGUGUCGGAGAGGCAGGCGGAAUUCCUAGUGUAGCGGUGAAAUGCGUAGAUAUUAGGAGGAACACCAGUGGCGAAGGCGGCCUGCUGGACGAUGACUGACGUUGAGGCUCGAAAGCGUGGGGAGCAAACAGGAUUAGAUACCCGUGUAAA